rnacentral:rRNA from 1 species
AAAUUUAAAUAUAGUUUUAUAAAAAAUUUAUUAAAUUUUCUUUAUAUUUUAUAAUGUAAAUUUAUUUUAAAUAGAAGAUAUUUUUAUAAUUUUUUUUAAAAAUUAAAAAUAGAAAUUUAUAUAAAAUAUUUGGCUAAACUUGUGCCAGCCGCCGCGGUUAUACAAGUAAAUAUAUUUUUUUAUAUUAAAAUUAAUAAAAAAAAAUAUUAAUAUUUUAAAAGAUAAUUAAGGUGAAAUUUAUUUCUUUAUUAAGUUUAUUUUGAUUUUAAUAAAAUUUAUUAAUUAAACUAGGAUUAGAUACCCUAUUAUUUUAAGCUUAAUGUUGUUAGUAAAUAAAAUUUAUGAAAACAUAAGAUUUUGGCGGUAUUUUAAGCUUUUUAGAGGAAUUUGCUCUGUAAUGGAUAAAACGCCUGAAUCUUACAUAAUUUAGUAAAGUCAAUUUGUAUACCACUAUGUUAAAUUAUAUUAAAUGGUUAUAUUUAAAGUUUUUUUAAUAAAAAAUAUAUUAAGUCAAGGUGCAAUAAAAAAUUAUGAAUGAAGUGAAUUACAAUGAAUAUAUUUAAUUAGUUAAAAUGAAAAGUUGAAUAGGAUUUAAAAGUAAAAUUUUUAAUAUUAUGAUAAUUUGAAUUAAGCUCUAAAAUAUGCACAUAUCGCCCGUCGCUCUCUUUAUAGAGAUAAGUCGUAACAAAGUAAAAGUACUGGAAAGUGUUUUU